ACUGGAGGGCCGAACCCACGUCUGUUGAAAAAGACGGGGAUGAGCUGUGGAUCGGAGUGAAAGGCUAAUCAAGCUCGGAGAUAGCUGGUUCUCCUCGAAAGCUAUUUAGGUAGCGCCUCGUGUAUAACUGUUGGGGGUAGAGCACUGUUUCGGCUAGGGGGUCGUCUAGAUUUACCAACCCGAUGCAAACUCCGAAUACCAACAAGUUUGAGCACGGGAGACACACGGCGGGUGAUAAGGUCCGUCGUGAAAAGGGAAACAGCCCAGACCGUCAGCUAAGGUCCCAAAAUCUAGGCUCAGUGGGAAACGAUGUGAGAAGGCACAGACAGCCAGGAGGUUGGCUUAGAAGCAGCCAUCCUUUAAAGAAAGCGUAAUAGCUCACUGGUCGAGUCGGCUUGCGCGGAAGAUUUACCGGGGCUAAGCCUAGUACCGAAGCUACGGAUCACACUUAGGUGUGGUGGUAGAGGAGCGUUCUGUAAGCCUGCGAAGGUGCAUUGAGAAGUGUGCUGGAGGUAUCAGAAGUGCGAAUGCUGACAUGAGUAACGAUAAUGGGGGUGAAAAACCCCCACGCCGAAAACCCAAGGUUUCCUGCGCAACGCUAAUCGACGCAGGGUUAGUCGGUACCUAAGGCGAGGCCGAAAGGCGUAGUCGAUGGCAAACAGGUUAAUAUUCCUGUACCGGUCGUAACUGCGAUGGGGUGACGGAGAAGGCUAGGUCAGCCGACUGUUGGAAUAGUUGGUUUAAGCGUGUAGGGAGGGGGAUUAGGCAAAUCCGGUCCCCUAAUUCUGAGACGUGAUGACGGAUUUUAGCUUCGGCUAAGAUGAAGUGAUUGAUGCCCUGCUUCCAAGAAAAACCUCUAAGCUUCAGGUUACGAGUGGCCGUACUGUAAACCGACACAGGUGGGUGGGAUGAGAAUUCUAAGGCGCUUGAGAGAACUCGGCUGAAGGAACUAGGCAAAAUGGUACCGUAACUUCGGGAUAAGGUACGCCUUGGUUAGGUGAAGUCCCUUGCGGAUGGAGCUGAGCAAGGUAGCAUAAAAUUGGUGGCUGCGACUGUUUAGCAAAAACAUAGCACUCUGCAAACUCGAAAGAGGAAGUAUAGGGUGUGACGCCUGCCCGGUGCUGGAAGGUUAAUUGAUGGGGUUAGCGUAAGCGAAGCUCUUGAUCGAAGCCCCAGUAAACGGCGGCCGUAACUAUAACGGUCCUAAGGUAGCGAAAUUCCUUGUCGGGUAAGUUCCGACCUGCACGAAUGGCGUAACGAUGGCCACACUGUCUCCAGCCGAGACUCAGUGAAAUUGAAAUUGCGGUGAAGAUGCCGUAUACCCGCGGCUAGACGGAAAGACCCCGUGAACCUUUACUAUAGCUUGACACUGGACUUUGAAUCGAUUUGUGUAGGAUAGGUGGGAGACUAUGAAGCGGCCACGCCAGUGGUUGUGGAGUCAACCUUGAAAUACCACCCUGGUUUAUUUGAAGUUCUAACCUAGGUCCGUAAUCCGGAUUGGGGACAGUGUCUGGUGGGUAGUUUGACUGGGGCGGUCUCCUCCCAAAGAGUAACGGAGGAGCACGAAGGUACCCUCAGCCUGGUCAGAAAUCAGGCGCUGAGUGCAAUGGCAUAAGGGUGCUUGACUGCGAGACAGACAAGUCGAGCAGGUACGAAAGUAGGUCAUAGUGAUCCGGUGGUUCUGAAUGGAAGGGCCAUCGCUCAACGGAUAAAAGGUACUCCGGGGAUAACAGGCUGAUACCGCCCAAGAGUUCAUAUCGACGGCGGUGUUUGGCACCUCGAUGUCGGCUCAUCACAUCCUGGGGCUGAAGCAGGUCCCAAGGGUAUGGCUGUUCGCCAUUUAAAGUGGUACGCGAGCUGGGUUCAGAACGUCGUGAGACAGUUCGGUCCCUAUCUGCCGUGGGCGUUUGAGAUUUGAGGGAAGCUGCUCCUAGUACGAGAGGACCGGAGUGGACGAACCGCUGGUGUUCCGGUUGUCAUGCCAAUGGCAUUGCCGGGUAGCUAUGUUCGGACAGGAUAACCGCUGAAAGCAUCUAAGCGGGAAGCCCCUCCCAAGAUGAGAUCUCACUGGGACUUAAAGUCCCCUGAAGGGCCGUCGGAGACUACGACGUUGA
rnacentral:rRNA from 1 species